AGACCCGAAACCCGGUGAUCUAGCCAUGGGCAGGUUGAAGGUUGGGUAACACUAACUGGAGGACCGAACCGACUAAUGUUGAAAAAUUAGCGGAUGACCUGUGGCUGGGGGUGAAAGGCCAAUCAAACCGGGAGAUAGCUGGUUCUCCCCGAAAGCUAUUUAGGUAGCGCCUCGUGAAUUCAUCUCCGGGGGUAGAGCACUGUUUCGGCUAGGGGGCCAUCCCGGCUUACCAACCCGAUGCAAACUGCGAAUACCGGAGAAUGUUAUCACGGGAGACACACGGCGGGUGCUAACGUCCGUCGUGAAGAGGGAAACAACCCAGACCGCCAGCUAAGGUCCCAAAGUCAUGGUUAAGUGGGAAACGAUGUGGGAAGGCCCAGACAGCCAGGAUGUUGGCUUAGAAGCAGCCAUCAUUUAAAGAAAGCGUAAUAGCUCACUGGUCGAGUCGGCCUGCGCGGAAGAUGUAACGGGGCUAAACCAUGCACCGAAGCUGCGGCAGCGACACUGUGUGUUGUUGGGUAGGGGAGCGUUCUGUAAGCCUGUGAAGGUGUGUCGUGAGGCAUGCUGGAGGUAUCAGAAGUGCGAAUGCUGACAUAAGUAACGAUAAAGCGGGUGAAAAGCCCGCUCGCCGGAAGACCAAGGGUUCCUGUCCAACGUUAAUCGGGGCAGGGUGAGUCGACCCCUAAGGCGAGGCCGAAAGGCGUAGUCGAUGGGAAACGGGUUAAUAUUCCCGUACUUGGUGUUACUGCGAAGGGGGGACGGAGAAGGCUAUGUUGGCCGGGCGACGGUUGUCCCGGUUUAAGCGUGUAGGUGUGUGUUCCAGGUAAAUCCGGUUCACUUUAACACUGAGGCGUGACGACGAGGCACUACGGUGCUGAAGCAACAAAUGCCCUGCUUCCAGGAAAAGCCUCUAAGCAUCAGGUAACAUCAAAUCGUACCCCAAACCGACACAGGUGGUCAGGUAGAGAAUACCAAGGCGCUUGAGAGAACUCGGGUGAAGGAACUAGGCAAAAUGGUGCCGUAACUUCGGGAGAAGGCACGCUGACACGUAGGUGAAGUGAUUUACUCAUGGAGCUGAAGUCAGUCGAAGAUACCAGCUGGCUGCAACUGUUUAUUAAAAACACAGCACUGUGCAAACACGAAAGUGGACGUAUACGGUGUGACGCCUGCCCGGUGCCGGAAGGUUAAUUGAUGGGGUCAGCGCAAGCGAAGCUCCUGAUCGAAGCCCCGGUAAACGGCGGCCGUAACUAUAACGGUCCUAAGGUAGCGAAAUUCCUUGUCGGGUAAGUUCCGACCUGCACGAAUGGCGUAAUGAUGGCCAGGCUGUCUCCACCCGAGACUCAGUGAAAUUGAACUCGCUGUGAAGAUGCAGUGUACCCGCGGCAAGACGGAAAGACCCCGUGAACCUUUACUAUAGCUUGACACUGAACAUUGAGCCUUGAUGUGUAGGAUAGGUGGGAGGCUUUGAAGUGUGGACGCCAGUCUGCAUGGAGCCGACCUUGAAAUACCACCCUUUAAUGUUUGAUGUUCUAACGUGGACCCGUUACCCGGGUUGCGGACAGUGUCUGGUGGGUAGUUUGACUGGGGCGGUCUCCUCCUAAAGAGUAACGGAGGAGCACGAAGGUUGGCUAAUCCUGGUCGGACAUCAGGAGGUUAGUGCAAUGGCAUAAGCCAGCUUGACUGCGAGCGUGACGGCGCGAGCAGGUGCGAAAGCAGGUCAUAGUGAUCCGGUGGUUCUGAAUGGAAGGGCCAUCGCUCAACGGAUAAAAGGUACUCCGGGGAUAACAGGCUGAUACCGCCCAAGAGUUCAUAUCGACGGCGGUGUUUGGCACCUCGAUGUCGGCUCAUCACAUCCUGGGGCUGAAGUAGGUCCCAAGGGUAUGGCUGUUCGCCAUUUAAAGUGGUACGCGAGCUGGGUUUAGAACGUCGUGAGACAGUUCGGUCCCUAUCUGCCGUGGGCGCUGGAGAACUGAGGGGGGCUGCUCCUAGUACGAGAGGACCGGAGUGGACGCAUCACUGGUGUUCGGGUUGUCAUGCCAAUGGCACUGCCCGGUAGCUAAAUGCGGAAGAGAUAAGUGCUGAAAGCAUCUAAGCACGAAACUUGCCCCGAGAUGAGUUCUCCCUGAGACUUAA
rnacentral:rRNA from 1 species